GACGAACGCUGGCGGCGUACUUAACACAUGCAAGUCGAGCGGUAAGGCCUUUCGGGGUACACGAGCGGCGAACGGGUGAGUAACACGUGGGCGAUCUGCCCUGCACUUCGGGAUAAGCCUGGGAAACUGGGUCUAAUACCGGAUAUGACCUCCUAUCGCAUGGUGGGUGGUGGAAAGAUUUAUCGGUGCAGGAUGGGCCCGCGGCCUAUCAGCUUGUUGGUGGGGUAAUGGCCUACCAAGGCAACGACGGGUAGCCGACCUGAGAGGGUGACCGGCCACACUGGGACUGAGACACGGCCCAGACUCCUACGGGAGGCAGCAGUGGGGAAUAUUGCACAAUGGGCGAAAGCCUGAUGCAGCGACGCCGCGUGAGGGAUGACGGCCUUCGGGUUGUAAACCUCUUUCAGCAGGGACGAAGCGCAAGUGACGGUACCUGCAGAAGAAGCACCGGCUAACUACGUG
rnacentral:rRNA from 1 species